rnacentral:rRNA from 1 species
GAUGAACGCUGGCGGCGUGCCUAAUACAUGCAAGUCGAGCGAACAGACGAGGAGCUUGCUCCUCUGACGUUAGCGGCGGACGGGUGAGUAACACGUGGAUAACCUACCUAUAAGACUGGUAUAACUUCGGGAAACCGGAGCUAAUACCGGAUAAUAUAUUGAACCGCAUGGUUCAAUAGUGAAAGACGGUUUUGCUGUCACUUAUAGAUGGAUCCGCGCCGCAUUAGCUAGUUGGUAAGGUAACGGCUUACCAAGGCAACGAUGCGUAGCCGAGCUGAGAGGGUGAUCGGCCACACUGGAACUGAGACACGGUCCAGACUCCUACGGGAGGCAGCAGUAGGGAAUCUUCCGCAAUGGGCGAAAGCCUGACGGAGCAACGCCGCGUGAGUGAUGAAGGUCUUCGGAUCGUAAAACUCUGUUAUUAGGGAAGAACAAAUGUGUAAGUAACUAUGCACGUCUUGACGGUACCUAAUCAGAAAGCCACGGCUAACUACGUG